rnacentral:rRNA from 1 species
UACGUAGGCAGCGAGCGUUGUUCGGAAUUACUGGGCGUAAAGAGUGUGUAGGCGGUGCUUUAAGUUCGGUGUGAAAUCUCCUGGCUUAACUGGGAGGGUGCGCCGGAAACUGGGGUGCUCGAGCGUGGGAGAGGAAAGCGGAAUUCCUGGUGUAGCGGUGAAAUGCGUAGAUAUCAGGAGGAACACCUGUGGUGUAGACAGCUUUCUGGACCAUUGCUGACGCUGAGGCGCGAAAGCGUGGGGAGCAAACAGG